rnacentral:ncRNA from 2 species
UUUAAGCAAUGAUUUUUAGGUUCAUAUAUAAUUAUUAUAUGAUUAAAAGGGAAAGUGGUUAAAAUCCACUACAGCCCCCGCUACUGUGAUGGAAGACUAAUCUCUAUAGCAUAUUGAAGUUUAAAUAUGCAAAAAUCCACUGGGAGUUUUCUUGGGAAGGAAGAGAAUGUAGGAUGAGGCCAAAGUCAGGAGACCUGCCUAAAGGUUUAUGUAAUG